rnacentral:rRNA from 1 species
AUUGAACGCUGGCGGCAGGCCUAACACAUGCAAGUCGAGCGAGCGGCGGACGGGUGAGUAAUGUCUGGGAAACUGCCUGAUGGAGGGGGAUAACUACUGGAAACGGUAGCUAAUACCGCAUACCAUCAGAUGUGCCCAGAUGGGCUUAGCUAGUAGGUGGGGUAAUGGCUCACCUAGGCGACGAUCCCUAGCUGGUCUGAGAGGAUGACCAGCCACACUGGAACUGAGACACGGGCCAGUCUCCUACGGUAGUCAGCAGUGGGGAAUAUGGCACAAUGGGAGCAAGCCUGAUGCAGCCAUGCCGCGUGUGUGAAGAAGGCCGUCGGGUUGUAAAGCACUUUCAGCGGGGAGGCGUUACCCGCAGAAGAAGCAACGGCGAACGCCGUGCCAGCCGCCGCGGUAAUUC